rnacentral:rRNA from 1 species
AAAUUGAAGAGUUUGAUCAUGGCUCAGAUUGAACGCUGGCGGCAGGCCUAACACAUGCAAGUCGAGCGGUAACACAGAGAGCUUGCUCUCGGGUGACGAGCGGCGGACGGGUGAGUAAUGUCUGGGAAACUGCCUGAUGGAGGGGGAUAACUACUGGAAACGGUAGCUAAUACCGCAUAAUGUCGCAAGACCAAAGUGGGGGACCUUCGGGCCUCAUGCCAUCAGAUGUGCCCAGAUGGGAUUAGCUAGUAGGUGGGGUAACGGCUCACCUAGGCGACGAUCCCUAGCUGGUCUGAGAGGAUGACCAGCCACACUGGAACUGAGACACGGUCCAGACUCCUACGGGAGGCAGCAGUGGGGAAUAUUGCACAAUGGGCGCAAGCCUGAUGCAGCCAUGCCGCGUGUGUGAAGAAGGCCUUCGGGUUGUAAAGCACUUUCAGCGGGGAGGAAGGCGGUGAGGUUAAUAACCUCACCGAUUGACGUUACCCGCAGAAGAAGCACCGGCUAACUCCGUGCCAGCAGCCGCGGUAAUACGGAGGGUGCAAGCGUUAAUCGGAAUUACUGGGCGUAAAGCGCACGCAGGCGGUCUGUCAAGUCGGA